CCCCUGCCGCCGACAUAUGCUGCAGAACCUUGUCCGUUUGCUGCGGAACCUUAAGUUGCUCAUCAUCCGCCCCGAGUCAGCACCUGAACCUCUGACAUUGCGUUCAGCACCCUGAUUGUUGCCCUCCCCAACUGCAAAACUGGCAAACCGAAUGUCAUGCACGGGACAACAGACCAGAAUGCCAUUGCAAAAUUAUAUGCUUUAUAACUUGAUGCUCAGGCUGGAUGUUCCCUAUUAGAUUAACAUACUCUUCAGUGCCAUUGCCACCUGAUGCACCUGAAGCAUGUGUGCCUGGGUGCCUACAUAGGCAUUCCAAAGUUGCAUCAAGUAGGUUUCUAACUGUCUUGCUCAACAUUUUACAAAAUAUUUGCCAGAUGUCAAAAUAAUCUCCCAAUGGUUUCAAAUGCCACGCACCUCCUGCUGCAGGACCGCCUCGACGAUUAGCUGCACAUGAAGACUCCCCUGCAGCCCUAACUGUAGUACAAGAUCAUCCAGUCAUUGUAUGUUUUUGGUAGUACAUACAUGCAGUUAGAAAUAGGCGUAUGAUGUGCAGUAAAAAAACGAAAUAGGCGAGUCAGGGUACUUAUUAUUCCAGGGAACACAUAUGCUUCACUCUGGCCACCGGCAUUGCCCCAACUGCAAAUUCUGUUCUCCCGGCUGAGUCUCCAGGAGGCACAGCUCUCCCACCUGCUGUUUUCAAAUUUUAUCUAAUUGAUUAACACUAUACACUGAAAAAUAACACAUACACUCUUAUAUCAUCCAAUUUCUUUUUACCUUGGAGCGCCUGGUCCAGGUUGAUCACUGGCUCACUGCUCCUACCGACUGCAUCGCUGUAAGAGCUCUCCGAUGCAGAGGACAUGGUCCUGGAAGGUGAAUUUCGAUACCUGUUAUGACACUUCUUAUUUUGGACGGUGCACACGUCUCUUCUGCCACUGCCUUGCCGGAGAGACAGCUGGACCUCUCGUACGAUUCUCCGGGGUAGAGCUCACAUACACCACACCUGGUUUGUCAUGAGAAUUUUAUGGUUGUUAACAGAGCCUGCUACUAAAUGAAUGACUUGUUUCAUAUGUAUGGACACGGAAACAUACCAACUGUACCAUUGAUUUCAGUCUGGAACUUCAGGAAAAUUGGUUGAGUACCAAGAUUGCUUGUCAUCGCGCGCAUUAGGCCAUCUGUUAUGGGUUUUUAGCACGUAAACAUCAUUGCGAGUUUAUUUUUAUGUGAUCACCACUCAUCAAGUGAACAGUCUAAUAAUUGUGUAGCAUCUUAACUAUCUCUGUCUCAACAGCUGCCAUGUGGUUGUUUGCUGCCUGCUGACCUGUAUCAUAUUUGGGAACAUCAUUCCAAACUGACAUGUCAUCUACUUCCCAUUUUGCCAAU
rnacentral:lncRNA from 1 species